GGCCACGUUGCUCAGUUGGCAGAGCAUUGGCCGGGCUAGUAUUCCAAAAGCAGUACGUUCGAUUCCCACCGUGGCCA